UAAAAGGUGGCUUCGGCUACCACUUACAGAUGGACCCGCGGCGCAUUAGCUAGUUGGUGAGGUAACGGCUCACCAAGGCAACGAUGCGUAGCCGAUGAGAGGGUGAUCGGCCACACUGGGACUGAGACACGGCCCAGACUCCUACGGGAGGCAGCAGUAGGGACUUCCGCAAUGGACGAAAGUCUGACGGAGCAACGCCGCGUGAGUGAUGAAGGUUUUCGGAUCGUAACUCUGUUGUUAGGGAAGAACAAGUACCGUUCGAAUAGGGCGGUACCUUGACGGUACCUAACCAGAAAGCCACGGCUAACUACGUGCCAGCAGCCGCGGUAAUACGUAGGUGGCAAGCGUUGUCCGGAAUUAUUGGGCGUAAAGGGCUCGCAGGCGGUUUCUUAAGUCUGAUGUGAAAGCCCCCGGCUCAACCGGGGAGGGUCAUUGGAAACUGGGAACUUGAGUGCAGAAGAGGAGAGUGGAAUUCCACGUGUAGCGGUGAAAUGCGUAGAGAUGUGGAGGAACACCAGUGGCGAAGGCGACUCUCUGGUCUG
rnacentral:rRNA from 1 species